rnacentral:rRNA from 1 species
AGCUCCAAUAGCAUAUGUUAAAGUUGUUGCGGUUAAAAAGCUCGUAGUUGGAUCUCGGCGGGGCGGGGCCGGUUCGCUCUCUGGCGUGACUGGCCCAUUGCCCCGUGUGUUCGUCGGAGGCCGCGCGGGUGCUCUUAACCGAGUGUCCCGCGGCGCCGUCGGUUUGACUUUGAAAAAAUUAGAGUGCUCCAGGCAGGCUCGACAGGCCUGAAUAGUCGUGCAUGGAAUGAUGGAAUAGGACGUCGUUUCUGUUCUGUUGGUUUUCGGAAAUCGACGUAAUGAUUGAUAGGGACAGUCGGGGGCAUUGGUAUUCAGGCGCUAGAGGUGAAAUUCUUGGACCGUCUGAAGACCCACUGCUGCGAAAGCGUUUGCCAAGAAUGUUUUCA